GUGCCAGCAGCCGCGGUAAUACGGAGGGUGCAAGCGUUGUUCGGAAUUACUGGGCGUAAAGCGCGCGCAGGCGGCAUCAUAAGUCGGGUGUGAAAUCCCUGGGCUUAACCCAGGACGUGCGCCUGAUACUGUGAUGCUAGAAUCUGGGAGAGGGAUGUGGAAUUCCUGGUGUAGAGGUGAAAUUCGUAGAGAUCAGGAGGAACACUCGUGGCGAAGGCGACAUCCUGGACCAAGAUUGACGCUGAGGCGCGAAAGCGUGGGGAGCAAACAGGAUUAGAAACCCUCGUAGUCC
rnacentral:rRNA from 1 species